AUUGAACGCUGGCGGCAGGCUUAACACAUGCAAGUCGAGCGGGGUGAGGUGCUUCGGUACUGAUCCUAGCGGCGGACGGGUGAGUAAUGCUUAGGAACGUGCCCAGUCGUGGGGGAUAACGCAGCGAAAGCUGUGCUAAUACCGCAUACGAUCUAUGGAUGAAAGCGGGGGACCGUAAGGCCUCGCGCGAUUGGAGCGGCCGAUGUCAGAUUAGGUAGUUGGUGGGGUAAAGGCCCACCAAGCCAACGAUCGGUAGCUGGUCUGAGAGGACGACCAGCCACACUGGGACUGAGACACGGCCCAGACUCCUACGGGAGGCAGCAGUGGGGAAUUUUGGACAAUGGGCGCAAGCCUGAUCCAGCAAUGCCGCGUGCAGGAAGAAGGCCUUCGGGUUGUAAACUGCUUUUGUACGGAACGAAACGGUCUGGGUUAAUACCCUGGGCUAAUGACGGUACCGUAAGAAUAAGCACCGGCUAACUACGUGCCAGCAGCCGCAGUAAUAC
rnacentral:rRNA from 1 species